GGCCUCGUAGCUCAGCCGGUAAAGCGUGCACUGUACAAAAGCGUAGGUGGCGUCCAUGCGUGGGUUCGAAUCCCACCGAGGCUA
rfam:Echinostoma caproni strain Egypt genome assembly, scaffold: ECPE_scaffold0034253